UCUCGGGUAGUAUAGUGGUGAGUAUCCCCGCCUGUCAUAUAGUUAUCAUUGUAGCUAUAAGUAGACCGCGGGAGACCGGGGUUCAAUUCCCCGCUCGAGAG